rnacentral:rRNA from 1 species
ACUGUUGUUCUUGAGUACAGUCGAGGUAGGCGGAAUGUGUAAUGUAGCGGUGAAAUGCAUAGAUAUUACCCAGAGCACCGAUUGCGUAGUCAGCUUACCAGCCUGGAACUGACGCUGAUGCACGAAAGCGUGGGGAGCGAACAGGAUUAGAUACCCUGGUAGUCCACGCCGUAAACGAGGAUCACUCGCUGUUGGCAAUAUAGAGUCAGCGGCUGAGCGAAAGCAUUAAGUGAUCCACCUGGGGAGUACGUCGGCAACGAUGAAACUCAAAGGAAUUGACGGGGGCCCGCACAAGCGGUGGAACAUGUGGUUUAAUUCGAUGAUACGCGAGGAACCUUACCUGGGCUUAAAUGUAGCCGGACGAUUCCGGAAACGGGAUUUCCUUAACGGCUGAUUACAAGCUGCUGCAUGGCUGUCGUCAGCUCGUCCCGUGAGGUGUCGGGUUAAGUCCCAUAACGAGCGCAACCCUUAUUCUUAGUUGCCAGCGGGUAGAGCCGGGGACUCUAAGGAGACUGCCUCCGUAAGGUGUGAGGAAGGUGGGGAUGACGUCAAGUCAGCACGGCCAUUACGUCCAGGGCUACACACGUGUUACAAUGGCCGGUACAGAAGGCAUCGAACUUGAGAGAGGGCGCGAAUCCAUGAAAGCCGGUCUCAGUUCGGAUUGGAGUCUGCAACCCGACUUC